CAGCGCCUCAAGUGGUCAGGAUGAUUAUUGGGCCUAAAGCAUCCGUAGCCGGCGCUGUAAGUUUUCGGUUAAAUCUGUACGCUCAACGUACAGGCUGCCGGGAAUACUGCAGCGCUAGGGAGUGGGAGAGGUAGACGGUACUCGGUAGGAAGGGGUAAAAUCCUUUGAUCUAUUGAUGACCACCUGUGGCGAAGGCGGUCUACCAGAACACGUCCGACGGUGAGGGAUGAAAGCUGGGGGAGCAAAACGGAUUAGAUACCCGAGUAGUCC
rnacentral:rRNA from 1 species